UACGUAGGGUGCGAGCGUUAAUCGGAAUUACUGGGCGUAAAGUGUGCGCAGGUGGCUUCGCAAGUCGAGUGUGAAAGCCCCGGGCUUAACCUGGGAAUUGCGCUCGAAACUACGGAGCUCGAGUGUGGCAGAGGAAGGUGGAAUUCCACGUGUAGCGGUGAAAUGCGUAGAGAUGUGGAGGAACACCGAUGGCGAAGGCAGCCCCCUGGGUUAACACUGACGCUCAGGCACGAAAGCCAGGGUAGCGAACGGG
rnacentral:rRNA from 1 species